UACGGGGGGGGUAAGCGUUGUUCGGAAUUACUGGGCGUAAAGGGCUCGUAGGCGGCCAACUAAGUCAGACGUGAAAUCCCUCAGCUUAACUGGGGAACUGCGUCUGAUACUGGAUGGCUUGGAUCCGGGAGAGGGAUGCGGAAUUCCAGGUGUAGCGGUGAAAUGCGUAGAUAUCUGGAGGAACACCGGUGGCGAAGGCGGCAUCCUGGACCGGUAUUGACGCUGAGGAGCGAAAGCCAGGGGAGCAAAGCGGG
rnacentral:rRNA from 1 species